rnacentral:rRNA from 1 species
GCCAGAAAUCUAGCCUAAAACAUAAUCAAAUUAACACACCUUUUAUAGUCUUUUUAGUUAAAACAUUUUAACUGUUAAGUAGAGGAGAUCAAAAACACCUAAGAGCUUAAGAGANCAGUACCGCAAGGGAAACCAUGAAAUAAAAAUGAAAUAAAUCUAAAGCCUAUAAUAGCA